rnacentral:tRNA from 1 species
GCCUUGGUGGCUCAGUCGGUUGAGCGUCUGACUUCGGCUCAGGUCAUGAUCUCACGGUUUGUGGGUUCGAGCCCCUCAUCGGGCU